UGGGAGGCAGUCUAAUAAGACUCAGCCCUUAACCUGUGGGAUCUGACACUAUCUCCAGGUAGAUAGUUAUCAGAAUUGAGUUGAAUUGUAGGACACCCAGCUGGUGUCCAAGAAUUGCUUGGUAGUGUGGGGAAAAGACCCACACAUGUUGGAAUUGGUAUCAGAAUCAGAGUCCUUGAUCUAGCAUUUGGGAAGCACUACUCUAGUCGAUUAAAAUUUCAAUUGCCACUUGAAAUAAAUUUUUAGUCUUAAGAAUGUCGUUUCCUGAUGAGACUCUGUUAGUGAGAAGGAGCAAUGACUGGCAAUGGCAUAGAAUUGUCUCUUAACAGAAAUCUUUUUAGAGAAAUUUUCCUUGUGCACCAUUACUCUAUCAUCGUUAGUGAUUUGCCAGAACUUUCCAUAGAUAAAAUAAAGAUUCCAAUUUAAGUCUUUAUUUCUUUUCAGAUUCAUCUAACUUUUCAGUUGAUCUUGAGCAAGAGAAACAAGUGAACGUUGAUGUGCCAGGAUCCCUGUCAGUCCAUUGCAUAGAGGAUUAAGAAAUAAUAGGAUCACAGUUGGAGAAACACUGUUGGGGGUCUGUGUAAUGAUCCUCUUUCUUACUCAUGAACCAAAUGGGAGCAAAGCCUUUUCUGCUAUUUCUUCUCUCAACUCAGGUUUGGACUUCAAACUUCCAUCUCCCUUUCUCUCCUCCUCUCAAGAUGUAUGUGGGAGUUCUGUGACUAAGAACUCAUCUUGGUACCUGUAGGCAGUGUAUACAGUGACCAUUGGCAGUAGCUGAAAAUAACUGGCCAGAGCAGAAGCAGCCUGGUAAAGUUGGAGAACAGAGGAAGCCAUGGCGAGGGAGGGGAGAGGCCAUCCAGGUUUGAGGCUCAGAAGAUGGCAGCAAGGGAGAGGCCAGGAAGGAAAAAACUGUAAUGUUCUAUAACAUAUCCAUAUCUGAUAUUAGCUAACAAUCUUCUAAGUGAGUUUAUUACAGUGUUUCAAGAUCCUAUUGUUCAUUUAUAGUAUUUCUUUCUAGGCCUUCAAGUUUUCCAAGACCCUUGCCCACUUUUAAAGCUUAAAUACCUGAUGAUUCUGUCCAAAACCUUAAAAGAUAGCAUUUUUUUGUUUCAAGUUUUUAAUCAGAACAUAGUAUAGUCAAGAGCACCAUGUAGAAACAGUAGUUCCCUGUUUGCAGCCAAUGUUGCUCUGUCUCUAUUUUGAACAUUUGCCUCCAGAACCAUUGUUGCUGAUGCAAAUUCAGAUGGAAAGGACUGAAAAAUAAAAUUUGCAGG
rnacentral:lncRNA from 1 species